rnacentral:rRNA from 1 species
CAGCAGCCGCGGUAAUACGGAGGGUGCAAGCGUUAAUCGGAAUCACUGGGCGUAAAGCGUGCGCAGGCGGUAAUGUAAGACAGAUGUGAAAUCCCCGGGCUCAACCUGGGAACUGCAUUUGUGACUGCAUUGCUGGAGUGCGGCAGAGGGGGAUGGAAUUCCGCGUGUAGCAGUGAAAUGCGUAGUUAUGCGGAGGAACACCGAUGGCGAAGGCAAUCCCCUGGGCCUGCACUGACGCUCAUGCACGAAAGCGUGGGGAGCAAACAGGAUUAGAUACCCCUGUAGUCCCUGUCUCUUAUAC